rnacentral:miRNA from 1 species
UCCAGGGUUGGAGUCGGCCGAGGCUUACGUGGAAGAUGGAAUGCCUACUUGCCUCUCUUUCUGUCAGCAGGGGGUGCCUCUUCCGACUGGA